UCAGUAACACGUAGUCAACCUGCCCUGAAGACAUGGACAACCCCGGGAAACUGGGACUAAUCCGUGAUAGGUCAUCUCAUCUGGAAGGAGAGAUGGCUUAAAGGGUCGCGCGGGCUUCUUCUGCGCGUUCGCUUCAGGAUGGGACUGCGUCCGAUCAGGCUGUUGGCGGGGUAAUGGCCCACCAAACCUGUAACCGGUACGGGCCUUGAGAGAGGUGGCCCGGAGAUGGACACUGAGAGAAGGGUCCAGGUCCUACGGGGCGCAGCAGGCGCGAAACCUUCGCAAUGCGCGAAAGCGUGACGAGGUUAAUCCGACUGGCCUCCGCUGAGGAGGUCUUUUGUCAGCUGUAAAUAGGCGGGCGAAUAAGGGGAGGGCAAGCCUGGU
rnacentral:rRNA from 1 species